rfam:Glossina morsitans morsitans, isolate Yale, WGS project CCAG01000000 data, contig: ctg10020658
UCCCAUAUGUUCCAUUGGCUACGAUAUUUGGCUUUCAACCAGAAGGCCUGGAUUCGAUUUCUGGAAUGGAAA